AUUGAACGCUGGCGGCAGGCCUAACACAUGCAAGUCGAACGAGUGGCGGACGGGUGAGUAAUGUCUGGGAAACUGCCUGAUGGAGGGGGAUAACUACUGGAAACGGUAGCUAAUACCGCAUACCAUCGGAUGUGCCCAGCUGGGAUUCGCUAGUAGGUGGGGUAAAGGCUCAACUAGGCGACGAUCCCUAGCUGGACUGAGAGGAUUACCAGCCACACUGGAACGGCGACACGGUCCAGACUCCUACGCGAGGCAGCAGUGGGGAAUAUUGCACAAUGGGCGCAAGUCUGGUGCAGCCAUGCCGCGUGUAUGAAGAAGGUCUUCGGAUUGUAAAGCACUUUAAGUUGGGAGUCGUUACCAACAGAAUAAGCACCGGCUAACUUCGUGCCAGCAGCCGCGGUAAUUC
rnacentral:rRNA from 1 species